GACGAACGCUGGCGGCGUGCUUAACACAUGCGAGUCGAACGGAAAGGCCCUGCUUUUGUGGGGUGCUCGAGUGGCGAACGGGUGAGUAACACGUGAGUAACCUGCCCUUGACUUUGGGAUAACUUCAGGAAACUGGGGCUAAUACCGGAUAGGAGCUCCUGCUGCAUGGUGGGGGUUGGAAAGUUUCGGCGGUUGGGGAUGGACUCGCGGCUUAUCAGCUUGUUGGUGGGGUAGUGGCUUACCAAGGCUUUGACGGGUAGCCGGCCUGAGAGGGUGACCGGCCACAUUGGGACUGAGAUACGGCACAGACUCCUACGGGAGGCAGCAGUGGGGAAUAUUGCACAAUGGGCGGAAGCCUGAUGCAGCAACGCCGCGUGCGGGAUGACGGCCUUCGGGUUGUAACCCGCUUUCGCCUGUGACGAAGCGUGAGUGACGGUAAUGGGUAAAGAAGCACCGGCUAACUACGUG
rnacentral:rRNA from 1 species